UAUGGUGAUUAUUGCGGUGGGGUCCACCUCUUCCCAUUCCGAACAGAGAAGUUAAGCCCACCAGCGCCGAUGGUACUGCAGUAAAAUGUGGAAGAGUAGGUCGUUGCCAGAU
rnacentral:rRNA from 1 species